GAAGAGGUUACUCGUGAGCUUGAUGGUGGUGGUAGUCAAAAGAAAGGUGGAAGAAAAAUUACUCGAAAGGCUAACAUAUAUGCAAGGCUGAAUCAACCCAAAAUCCAUAUUCCACUUAAUGGGGAUGGCCAUCCUGUUCGGCCAGAUGCAACUGAAUUUUCCAAUUUCAUUGGUACUUUGGUGAGGAAGCAUAUACCACCUGCAGGGUUAGAUUGGCGGGAUGUUGAUGUAGAGAAAAAGUUGUUAGUGUGGGAGACCUUGAAGGCAUUUUAUGAGCUGGACUCAACUACUUUGAGCUUUGUUAUCAACACUUCACACAUAAAAUGGAAGGAUUGGAAGUCAGAUUUAAAGAGGUACAAGUUUGAUGCUGCGCUCACUGAUGCACUACUUAUGAAAAGACGUGAUAGCAGAAUUAGUGAAGCUGACUGGAAGACCCUUAUUACUUAUUGGAGAUCUUCGGCAUUUGAAGUA
rnacentral:rRNA from 1 species